CCUACGGGAGGCAGCAGUGAGGAAUAUUGGUCAAUGGUCGGGAGACUGAACCAGCCAAGCCGCGUGAGGGAGGAAGGUACAGAGUAUCGUAAACCUCUUUUGUCAGGGAACAAAGGCGGGGACGUGUCCCCGGAUGAGUGUACCUGAAGAAAAAGCAUCGGCUAACUCCGUGCCAGCAGCCGCGGUAAUACGGAGGAUGCGAGCGUUAUCCGGAUUUAUUGGGUUUAAAGGGUGCGCAGGCGGUCUGUUAAGUCAGCGGUCAAAGCCCGGGGCUCAACCCCGGCCCGCCGUUGAAACUGGCAGUCUCGAGUUGGAGAGAAGUAUGCGGAAUGCGCGGUGUAGCGGUGAAAUGCUUAGAUAUCACGCAGAACCCCGAUUGCGAAGGCAGCCUGCCAAGCCAUGACUGACGCUGAUGCACGAAAGCGUGGGGAUCAAACAGGAUUAGAUACCCUAGUAGUC
rnacentral:rRNA from 1 species